CUCGCCUACAUAAAGCUGGAGUUACUAGUAAUCGCAGAUCAGAAUGCUGCGGUGAAUGCGUUCCCGGGUCUUGUACACACCGCCCGUCACACCACGGAAGUUGGGGGCGCCCGAAGCCACUUAGCUAACCCUUUUGGGAAGCGAGUGUCGAAGGUUGAAAUCAAUAACUGGGGUGAAGUCGUAACAAGGUAUC
rnacentral:rRNA from 1 species